rnacentral:rRNA from 1 species
UACGAAGGGGGCUAGCGUUGCUCGGAAUCACUGGGCGUAAAGCGCACGUAGGCGGAUUGCUAAGUCAGGGGUGAAAUCCUGGAGCUCAACUCCAGAACUGCCUUUGAUACUGGCGAUCUCGAGUCCGGGAGAGGUGAGUGGAACUGCGAGUGUAGAGGUGAAAUUCGUAGAUAUUCGCAAGAACACCAGUGGCGAAGGCGGCUCACUGGCCCGGUACUGACGCUGAGGCGCGAAAGCGUGGAGAGCAAACAGG